UUCGAUAUUUUAUUAACAUUAUAAAGUCAUAGUUAUUCAGCAUAGUCAAUAAUAAUUAUUUUGACAAAAAAAUAACAACCUCGCAGAUCUGGCGUAGGAAGAUAGCACUUGUUGGUGAUAAUCAAUCAAAAUAUAAAUGGCGGCCGAGUGAAAUCAACAGCAAUAAUGAUACAUGUAAUUGAAGAUUUAUCAAGAUAACAGGAGAUCUUUUAAAGUUUGGAGAACAUAUAUCAGAGAAGAACAUUGUUUGCGAAACUUGAAAGUUGGAAUUAACAAUCUGAACGCUGAAAUAUUCAAACUAUAAAAUGGCUUGAACAGAACUGUGUAUGACACACGUGUGGCGGAAAAAAUAAUUUCCACCGUUGUUGACGUCUUGAUCGUUCCUAGGAGGAGUGGUUGCAGUCAAUGAAUAGUGUUUGAGUGAAUAAUAACUACCAAGGACUUCCAGAGUAUUUAAAGAUAAGUAAUUUUCAAGUAAAUCUUUUAAUGCAUAGUCCAAUUUACAAACUUCAGUUCAGCCGAUAUUUAAUAAUAUGUCGCCAGAAUAAUUCACUCGCCUCGCCCUCGUAAAAUUAUUUCGCAGAUGUUAAUAGCUUUUAAACUCGAUUUUACUAUACCUUUUUUCUUAGUAAUAUUUUAGUAAAACUAAAAGAUUUAUAUCUAAUUACUGCAAGUGAUAGUGAUCUUCUACACUUCUCAUGCCAAAAUGUGUAGUGAAUCUCAACCAUAGUGUGUUGAUGAUGGACUGGGGAGACCCAACUCCUAGCUGACCAGUUUCAUAUAGUCUGCCAAUUUCCUCAUCAGUAAUUGGUUGUGCAGCAUUUUCUUUAUUGCCUUUUCCUGAUUUUUUUAGAUUUUUUGUUUUGGACCGAAAUAAAAGAAUUUUAGUAUUUUUCAUAUUCUGAAAAAGUUACAAAAAACUACAUAUUAAUAUGAGAAUUUUUUAAAAAUUUAUUACUGUGAAAUCAUUUAAUUUCGUGGGGAUAUGAAUUUGUGGAUUUCAACUUUUGGAUAUAAAAUGAAUUUGUGGAUUUCAACUUUUGAAUAUAAAAUGAAUGGGAAUUUUACUUGUUUGUUGGGAUGAAAUUUCGUGGAUUGACUCAAUCACGAAAUCCACGAACAUUAGUCCCCACGAAUAUUAAUGAUUUCACAGUAUAUAGAAAUGUGUGGCAAAUUUAAAAUAAGAUAUAUUUUGUGGCAGGAGAUGGGAACCAAUGACUCAUUUUUGGUUUUGCUCUUAUGAAGUUAGGAAUGAUGAUUAUAUAAUUAAUUAAAAUACAUUUGAAUUAAAAUAAUUUGUUGGGAUAUUGUUAGUGAUUUGUCGCUGAACAAAUCAUUGUUUGGAGUUCAGAUGCGAAGGAAUUAUAUCACGAGGGCGCAGCCCUAGUGAAAUGAUUAUACGCAUCUCAACGAUAAACAAUGAUUUUAUUCAAGAGCAAAUCACGAAAUGAGAUAUAUUAUUUCAAUUUUAACACGUUACCAAGAAUUUAAAGGCUAAAGCACAUCCUUGGCGGCAUUCAUUAAAUAUUUGCCCAUUUUCAAUUGGUUUCUUUUCCAGUAAGCCGCUAUGCCGUUUGACGCUAUGGCGUAAUGAUUGUAAUAUACUGUUUUCAGCCUUCUUUGUUUAAUAGGAAAAUACAUUGGAUCGUGUUAGAAUUUGAUUUAACUUUAAACACGUUUAAGUGAAUAAUAAAUUGAAAUUAAGCCUAAAACCUAGUUUGUUUCUAGUACCCUGACAUAAAAAUUUGCCACAAUUUUUGUUAAAUUUAUGGCACUGGAUUUUUUUCUUGUUGAUAUUUUGGCAAUUUUUUUAUACUUUUUGCUUUAUGUUGCUCUCGGAUCUGAUUUACCAAGUAAUCGUCUCAGUCCUUAAAAAAUCCAACCUAGCUUUUUUAGGCAUUUUACCGGAAACAAACACUAUUUUUUAGGCCUUACCGCUUUAGUCUGGUUUGUAAGAGGAAACAAUAGUGAAGCCAUAUCCGUUCUCCUGCAGAACUCUGUCGAAAGUAGAUAUGUAGCCUCUUAUGCUACUUGGCUCAUAGUCGCUGCCAUCUUCUUUUCUAAGUAAGAACAUUUCUAAAAGCUCACCCAGUUCAUUCAUUGGGAUAGUGUAAAAUUCUCUGGUUUCAUUUUUUAGUUUUAAGAAAUUCUUUCGUCUGUUCAUAUGUCGGUUUGUUUUGCGUUUUGUGUGUUCAUUUUUUUCUGUUUCAUUGAAUGCCCUAACAGAGUCCACAUCAACCAUCAUAAAACCUUUAUCAAUAUCAAUUUCAGAGGCAACAGUGGCAGAGGCAGACACAGAACUGUGAACUUCAUCUGUUUGAACAGAUCUAAGUGAAAGACAUUCAGCAGUGGUUUCAGGAAUUUCAGUCGAAACAGAUGGAUUCUUUGAAUACUCGGACAUUUGAGAGUCUGUCAGUAAUUUAAUUACAAUUAGUUCCUUCUCCUCAUCGAAUUCCUCAUCAAAUAUUGAUGGAUCAAUGCCAGUGGUUGAUUCAAAUUCACUUUUAUCAUGAACUUCUUCAAUGCCCAUCAUCUGGACUUCUAACAAAUCAUCCCAGUGUACAUUGAAAGUUGCCAUGACUAAACUUUAAAGGAAAAGUGCCUUUACUGUGGAUAAUGUCUGUCAAUUUCAGAUGUAUCAGUGCAUAUUUUUGAUAUUCAGACUUUUCAAAACAAUUAACAUAUUUUUUUGGUAUUUUUUUCUUACUCUGAUUGAUCACUUUUUAUUUUUGUUGUUGUUAAGAGCAGAAGACGUUUUUUUCAAGGAUGUAAGCAUUUACAAUUUUGUGAAAAUAAUAUUUUUUUUUUUUUUUUUGGACAAAUUAUAUAUUGUCAAAUCUUGAUUAAUAUAUGAAUAUUUUAUUUUAUUAAAUAUGUUUAAUUUUCA